UCCCAUUCGAGCCUCUCUCUCUCUCUCCAAGUUGGAGGUACCAUUUUUUUUUUCUUCUUUGCGUUGGGAUUGAAUCUUCCUUCUGCCAUGGAUUGACCUUUAAUUGAUUUCGAUUCUCCUAGAUGGAGACGGAAGUGAAUUAUGAUUGUCGAUUGGUGAAUAACGAUCCUAGACUUACGAACGUUAUGUGGAAGAACAAUUUCAAAAACAUAAACUUUGGAUUAAAGAGAGCUUUACGGCCUUAGAAAUAGGAGAAAAAUCCUCUCUUUUUUACAAUAUUAACGUUGGGCCUUGGAGCUAGUAGCUCUGUUGUACACAUCCAUGGUGUGGAUUGAGUGCUUACGGUGAGAAAAUUUUGGGAUCAUCUAGCUCAGAGUAUUUGCUGAGCAGCGUGUAAGUGGUUCUUCUUGCUGUGAUUGAUUCCUUUUCCACCUCGAGUUUAAUGUUAUUGGUUUGAACUUCUUUAACUCUUUUGAAUAUGGGUUGAUAUGCCGUUACUUGUCUGAUCCUGUAUACUAUUUUCAAGCGAAUGGUCACUGUCACAUAUGUGAGAAACGUAUUGAUUGAUGAUUGUGUUAUUUCCAUCUUUACAUAGGGUAGGUAAGUUGGUUUCUUUAUAUUGUGUGUUCUUCACUUCUUCUGCCCUUGUCUAUCUAAUUGUAGGGAGUAAUUAACUAGUGUGAGUUUUUGCUUCAACCUUAGGGACAUUGGACCAGGAUCUCGGAGCCAGUUGGGGGUAGACUCUCUCUCAUAGCGUUUGGCUCCUCUGCUGUGCUUGCUGGCUUCCCACUGGGACUUAAUGGAAAGUAAGUCUUCAGAUUUCUUCAAGAUCUUCACUUUUCAUGCUCUAGACCAAGUUGGCAAAUCUACAAAAAAAAUUCUGAAAAUGUCAUUGUUUAUCCGAUUGAUUUGUCUUCAGUGGCCAAGUUCCUGUAAGUGGAUACAACUUGAUCAGCUUAGAGCUGAUAAUUUUAUUAUUAUUUGGGAAUCAUCAGGUACAUUAUCUUCGUAAGCCACUUCUUAGUACCACUACCGUAUGUUGUUACUACAACAUUCUCCUAUUAACGUCUUGCGGACAUUUUUUAGGAAGUGGUUUCCCACAGAGUAACUCAUUUCCAAUGUAAACGGACGGAUCUUCAAACUUCAGAAGCAUCGGUAUCCUCCCUUCCAGCUUAUUGUACGAUAGAUUCAGCUUCUGCAGAGAAGAUAU
rnacentral:lncRNA from 1 species